UCCGUGGGCGGGCAAUUAAGUCAGAGGUGAAAUCCCACAGCUCAACUGUGGAACUGCCUUUGAUACUGGUUGUCUUGAGUUACAGUGAAGUAGAUAGAAUAUGUAGUGUAGCGGUGAAAUGCAUAGAUAUUACAUAGAAUACCGAUUGCGGAGGCAGUCUACUAACUGUAUACUGACGCUAAUGGACGAAAGCGUGGGGAGCGAACAGGAUUAGAUACCCUGGUAGUCC
rnacentral:rRNA from 1 species